rnacentral:rRNA from 1 species
UUAGGUCGGGGACAACCACUGGAAACGGUGGCUAAUACCGGAUGUGCCGAAAGGUGAAAGGUUUACUGCCUAAAGAUGAGCUCGCGUCUGAUUAGCUAGUAGGUGGGGUAAAAGCCUACCUAGGCGACGAUCAGUAGCUGGUCUGAGAGGAUGAUCAGCCACACUGGGACUGAGACACGGCCCAGACUCCUACGGGAGGCAGCAGUGGGGAAUUUUCCGCAAUGGGCGAAAGCCUGACGGAGCAAUACCGCGUGAGGGAGGAAGGCUCUUGGGUUGUAAACCUCUUUUCUCAGGGAAGAAAAAAUGACGGUACCUGAGGAAUAAGCAUCGGCUAACUCCGUGCCAGCAGCCGCGGUAAUACGGAGGAUGCAAGCGUUAUCCGGAAUGAUUGGGCGUAAAGCGUCCGCAGGUGGCUGUGUAAGUCUGCUGUUAAAGAGCAAAGCUCAACUUUGUAAGAGCAGUGGAAACUACACGGCUAGAGUGCGUUCGGGGCAGAGGGAAUUCCUGGUGUAGCGGUGAAAUGCGUAUAGAUCACGAAGAACACCGGUGGCGAAGGCGCUCUGCUAGGCCGCAACUGACACUGAGGGACGAAAGCUAGGGGAGCGAAUGGGAUUAGAUACCGCAG